rnacentral:lncRNA from 1 species
AUGUACCUAUCUUUCACGUUUGUGAGAUAAAAUUAUCGUUGAUAUUGAAAUAAAAUAAUAAAUUCAAAUGAAAAUGUAAGUUAAUUUUCUUCGUAAUAUUGAUCUGGGUUUCCCUCACCUCAUUUCCUAAUACUUUGCUUGAAUAUUGUAAGGACUCCAUCUAUCUGAAGGUAACCUUAUGAAAAGGCUGAGACGAAAUUUGUUUUUCAUGCUGCUAAAGGACUACGCCUCCCGUCCAAUCCCCGAAGAGCUUCUCACCUCAGGCGUUGAGCGUUAUGCGUUAUGCAUUAAGUGUUACGCGUUACUCUUUAUUAUUAUAUAUCACAGAGUAAGAUACGAGGGAACUUUUGAGACAAUUUAUACACGAUAUCACUUUUUCAGAUAUCUCAUUGGCCAGAAAAACUAGAUCCAAGAUAUCUGACCAUGGCGAGGGACGCUAAAAAAUUUAAACUGGUGAAUGGUGAGCUGGAGGACAUAACAGGGCCUUUCCAUGUACCGGGGAAAAAGGUCAUCGGCGCUGGACUGUUCCCAGCUCUGCGGCAAAUCCCGGGGGCUGAGAUCUUUAGUUUCUCGCAUAAUAAAAUCAAGGAUAUAAAAACUGAUACUUUUAGGUAUAAUCUAGCACUUCGAGAGAUUUAUUUGGAUCACAACGAGAUCACCAAGUUAAGUCCUGAUGCGUUCAAACAUCUUCGGAAUUUAGAAAAACUGGUAUUAAGCGACAAUAAAAUCACUUUGGUGCCGCAUGGGUUACCUCCAAGUCUGAGCCACUUGGACCUAUCGAACAACCUUUGUUAUCAAACGACGUCUUCAAUGGAAAUCAUCCUUCCGGAGAAACUAUCGUACCUAAAUUUAUGCGGGAAUUAUUUGCGAAAUUCGAAAGUUUUCAGGAGAGUAUCGUUUGCGAACAUCAAAACUUUGUGCAUUGGGGACGAAGGCCCACAGCUGCCGAUUGAAUUAUCGCGUGAUUUAUCCGCCUUGAUGCGCUUACAGAAUCUUACGCUUUCCGCUAAACGGAAUGAUGAUAAUACGGAUCUCACCGAUAGGACGGCUCAAGAUCUUGAAAAACUGAGAUUUCUAGUCGAGUUGAAUUUAGGUAAGCCUGCGAAAUGCAAAUUGCUUUAUUCAAGGAGAGCGAGCCACCCUAAGGGAAUCUCAUGUUUUUAAAAGUCAAAUUGAAGUAUCCAUACUAACAGGAACUAUGAGUCUAGGGCUUUGGUGCAACAUAGUUCCUUUUGACUCAUAUACGUUCAAAUGAACCCUCCAUUCGCAAUUAGAAACUACAAU